rnacentral:rRNA from 1 species
GUUGAUCCUGCCAGACCUGACUGCUAUCGGAUUGAUACUAAGCCAUGUGAGUCAUUGUAGUAAUACAAGGCAGACGGCUCAGUAACACGUAGCCAAUCUAACCUAUGGACGGGGAUAACCUCGGGAAACUGAGGAUAAACCCCGAUAGAUCAUUAUGCCUGGAAUGGUUUAUGUUUCAAAUAAUUUAUUGCCGUAGGAUGGGACUGCGGCCUAUCAGUUUGUUGGUGAGGUAAUGGCCCACCAAACCUGUUACCGGUACGGGCUCUGAGAGGAGGAGCCCGGAGAUGGGCACUGAGACAAGGGCCCAGGCCCUAUGGGGCGCAGCAGGCGCGAAACCUCUGCAAUAGGCGAAAGCCUGACAGGGUUACUCUGAGUGGUUUCCGCUAAGGGAACCUUUUGGCACCUCUACAAAUGGUGCAGAAUAAGGGGUGGGCAAGUCUGGUGUCAGCCGCCGCGGUAAUACCAGCACCCCGAGUGGUCGGGACGAUUAUUGGGCCUAAAGCAUCCGUAGCCGGCUCUGUUAGUUUUCGGUUAAAUCUAUACGCUCAACGUAUGGGCUGCCGGGAAUACUGCAAAGCUAGGAAGUGGGAGAGGUAGACGGUACUCGGUAGGAAGGGGUAAAAUCCUUUGAUCUAUUGAUGACCACCUGUGGCGAAGGCGGUCUACCAGAACAUGUCCGACGGUGAGGGAUGAAAGCUGGGGGAGCAAACCGGAUUAGAUACCCGGGUAGUCCCAGCUGUAAACUAUGCAAACUCGGUGAUGCAUUGGCUUGAUGCC